CUAAGGUAGCGAAAUUCCUUGUCGGGUAAGUUCCGACCCGCACGAAAGGCGUAACGAUUUGGGCACUGUCUCAACAAUAGACUCGGUGAAAUUGUAAUCCCGGUGAAGAUGCCGGGUACCUGCGACAGGACGGAAAGACCCCAUGGAGCUUUACUGUAGCUUGACGUUGGGUCUUGGUACUACAUGUACAGGAUAGGUGGGAGACUAUGAAGCAUGGACGCCAGUCUGUGUGGAGUCAUCCUUGGGAUACCACCCUUGUAGUACUGGGAUCCUAACCAUAGGCCUUGAAUCAGGUCUUGGAACACCGUCAGGUGGGCAGUUUGACUGGGGCGGUCGCCUCCUAAAAAGUAACGGAGGCGCUCAAAGGUUUCCUCAGCACGGUCGGAAAUCGUGCGAAGAGUGUAAAGGCAAAAGGAAGCUUGAUUGCAAGACAUACAGGUCGAGCAAGGACGAAAGUCGGACUUAGUGAUCCGGUGGUACCGCAUGGAAGGGCCAUCGCUCAACGGAUAAAAGCUACCCUGGGGAUAACAGGCUUAUCUCCCCCAAGAGUCCACAUCGACGGGGAGGUUUGGCACCUCGAUGUCGGCUCAUCACAUCCUGGGGCUGUAGUAGGUCCCAAGGGUUGGGCUGUUCGCCCAUUAAAGUGGUACGCGAGCUGGGUUCAGAACGUCGUGAGACAGUUCGGUCCCUAUCCGUCGCAGGCGUAGGAAAUUUGAGAAGACCUGUCCUUAGUACGAGAGGACCGGGAUGGACGUACCUCUGGUGUACCAGUUGUUCUGCCAAGGGCAUGGCUGGGUAGCUAUGUACGGAAUGGAUAAGCGCUGAAAGCAUCUAAGCGCGAAGCCAACUUCAAGAUAAGAUUUCCCACCGUAAGGGUAAGACCCCAGGAAGACUACCUGGUUGAUAGGUCGAAGGUGUAAGUGCAGUAAUGUAUUUAGCUUAUCGAUACUAAUAGGUCGAGGACUUGACCAA
rnacentral:rRNA from 1 species